GCCGAGCUGGCGGAAUUGGCAGACGCGCACGUUUCAGGGGCGUGUGGACGUGAGUCCAUCAGGGUUCAAGUCCCUGGCUCGGCA
rnacentral:tRNA from 1 species